rnacentral:rRNA from 1 species
UAGGGAAUCUUCCGCAAUGGACGCAAGUCUGACGGAGCAACGCCGCGUGAGUGAAGAAGGAUUUCGGUUCGUAAAACUCUGUUGUUAGAGAAGAACAGCGCAUAGAGUAACUGUUAUGCGUGUGACGGUAUCUAACCAGAAAGCCACGGCUAACUAAGUGCCAGCAGCCGCGGUAAUACGUAGGUGGCAAGCGUUGUCCGGAAUUAUUGGGCGUAAAGCGCGCGCAGGCGGACUAGCCAGUCAGUCUUAAAAGUUCGGGGCUUAACCCCGUGAUGGGAUUGAUACUACUAGUCUAGAGUAUCGGAGAGGAAAGUGGAAUUCCUAGUGUAGCGGUGAAAUGCGUAGAUAUUAGGAAGAACACCAGUGGCGAAGGCGACUUUCUGGACGAACACUGACGCUGAGGCGCGAAAGCCAGGGGAGCGAACGGG